CCGGGCAGUGGGAGGCUGGGAGUCUCUCUGGAAGGAGGCCGGGCAGUGGGAGGCUGGGAGUCUCUCUGGAAGGAGGCCGGGCACUGGGAGGCUGGGAGUCUCUCUGGAAGGAGGCUGGGCACUGGGAGUCUCUCUGGGAGGAGGCCGGGCAGUGGGAGGCUGGGAGUCUCUCUGGAAGGAGGCUGGGCACUGGGAGGCUGGGAGUCUCUCUGGAAGGAGGCUGGGCACUGGGAGUCUCUCUGGGAGGAGGCCGGGCAGUGGGAGGCUGGGAGUCUCUCUGGAAGGAGGCUGGGCACUGGGAGGCUGGGAGGCUCUCUGGAAGGAGGCUGGGCACUGGGAGUCUCUCUGGGAGGAGGCCGGGCAGUGGGAGGCUGGGAGUCUCUCUGAAGGAGGCUGGGCACUGGGAGUCUCUCUGGGAGGAGGCCGGGCACUGGGAGGCUGGGAGUCUCUCUGGAAGGAGGCUGGGCACUGGGAGUCUCUCUGGAAGGAGGCUGGGCACUGGGAGGCUGGGAGUCUCUCUGGAAGGAGGCUGGGCACUGGGAGUCUCUCUGGGAGGAGGCCGGGCACUGGGAGGCUGGGAGUCUCUCUGGAAGGAGGCCGG